GAUCAUGGCUCAGGACGAACGCUGGCGGCGUGCUUAACACAUGCAAGUCGAACGAGAGGACAAGAGAAGCUUGCUUCUUUUGGAAUCGAGUGGCAAACGGGUGAGUAACACGUAAACAACCUGCCUUCAGGAUGGGACGAACAGACGGAAACGACUGCUAAUACCGAAUACGCUUGGGAGACCGCAUGAUCUUUCCAAGGAAAGGGUGGCCUCUACCUGUAAGCUAUCGCCUGAAGAGGGGUUUUGCGU
rnacentral:rRNA from 1 species